rnacentral:tRNA from 1 species
ACUAUGGUAAUGAAUCAGCAUGGCAGACCGGAUAUCUGUAAGCACGGGUUCGAGUCCCGUCUGAGGUU